rnacentral:rRNA from 1 species
AGAGUUUGAUCCUGGCUCAGGAUGAACGCUAGCUACAGGCUUAACACAUGCAAGUCGCGGGGCAGCAUGGGGGUUGCUUGCAACCCCUGAUGGCGACCGGCGCACGGGUGAGUAACGCGUAUCCAACCUGCCCUUCACCACGGGAUAACCCGGCGAAAGUCGGACUAAUACCGUAUGUUGUCCAUUGACGGCAUCCGAUUUGGACGAAAGGCUUAGCGGUGAGGGAUGGGGAUGCGUCCGAUUAGCUUGACGGCGGGGUAACGGCCCACCGUGGCAACGAUCGGUAGGGGUUCUGAGAGGAAGGUCCCCCACACUGGAACUGAGACACGGUCCAGACUCCUACGGGAGGCAGCAGUGAGGAAUAUUGGUCAAUGGGCGGAAGCCUGAACCAGCCAAGUAGCGUGCAGGAUGACGGCCCUAUGGGUUGUAAACUGCUUUUAUGCGGGGAUAAAGGAGCCCACGUGUGGGCUUUUGCAGGUACCGCAUGAAUAAGGACCGGCUAAUUCCGUGCCAGCAGCCGCGGUAAUACGGAAGGUCCGGGCGUUAUCCGGAUUUAUUGGGUUUAAAGGGAGCGUAGGCCGCCCCUUAAGCGUGUUGUGAAAUGCGGGUGCUCAACAUCCGACUUGCAGCGCGAACUGGGGGGCUUGAGUGCGCCGAAAGUAGGCGGAAUUCGUGGUGUAGCGGUGAAAUGCUUAGAUAUCACGAAGAACUCCGAUUGCGAAGGCAGCUUACUGUAGCGCAACUGACGCUGAUGCUCGAAAGCGUGGGUAUCGAACAGGAUUAGAUACCCUGGUAGUCCACGCGGUAAACGAUGGAUGCUCGUUGUCGGCCUUUAUGGUCGGUGACCAAGCGAAAGCGUUAAGCAUCCCACCUGGGGAGUACGCCGGCAACGGUGAAACUCAAAGGAAUUGACGGGGGCCCG